rnacentral:rRNA from 1 species
AUUGAACGCUGGCGGCAUGCUUUACACAUGCAAGUCGAACGGUAACAGGGUGCUUGCACCGCUGACGAGUGGCGAACGGGUGAGUAAUGCGUCGGAACGUGCCGAGCAGUGGGGGAUAACGCAGCGAAAGUUGUGCUAAUACCGCAUACGUACUGAGGUAGAAAGUGGGGGACCUUCGGGCCUCACGCUAUUCGAACGGCAGCCGGCUGAGUAGCUAGUAGGUGAGGUAAAGGCUCACCUAGGCGACGAUCAGUAGCGGGUGUGAGAGGAUGAGCCGCCACACUGGGACUGAGACACGGCCCAGACUCCUACGGGAGGCAGCAGUGGGGAAUUUUGGACAAUGGGCGAAAGCCUGAUCCAGCCAUGCCGCGUGUCUGAAGAAGGCCUUCGGGUUGUAAAGGACUUUUGUCGGGGAGGAAAUCCCCAGCGUUAAUACCGCUGGGGGAUGACAGUACCUGAAGAAUAAGCACCGGCUAACUACGUGCCAGCAGCCGCCGUAA